AGAACGACACAUUCGCUACAGCGGUAAAAGUAAAAAAUAAUCUUUUAAACAAAAGAAUCAUUAUCAAAUGAUGUAAUUUUCCACCGGACUGAACUGUAUGUUCUAAUAAGCUGUUCUUUUGAACAUACUGUUAUGUUUGAUGGGGCCAUUCUCAUUUACUGCUGGACCGGUUUGACUUGUAAUUAAUUGUAACCCACGGUAAAUAUUAAGUAGGAAUCUUGUAGUAAUAUAAAUAUUAAAAGUUAAAGAAAUUAAAGUAGAAAAUACUCUAUUUGUUU
rnacentral:lncRNA from 1 species